rnacentral:rRNA from 1 species
AUGGCGGCUUGCGGGGCAAAGGAAGGAUUGGAAGACAAUCAAUCUGGAGGGUGUGUGGGACUUUAUGCAGAGGGGCGUCCACAUGCUCAUCAACAUUCUCGAUGGCCAGAGCCCGAGCACAACUUCGAGUACUACAUGAUGCAUCUGAAGAUUCUGAACAUGCUUUUCAUUUGUGCUAUACGGCUAUCCAUCAGUACACAUCUUAGUAAUGUUAAUUUGGUUGUUCUUGAGACUUUUGCAGAUAGUAUGUAUUUCAAAGACGUGUGCUUGCAUGGGUUUGAUACUUCCCUUUAUACCCGAUUGCAUAGGAAAACAAGAUCAGAGCAUAAUUCUACUUGGCAUUGGUGGCUGGGGUCAACAGGUUCAGUGAUUGUUCUUAUACUUUUGCUUCAGAAGGAAAUCGUGGAUCAUGAUCUUGCGGAGCAGAUGGAGGAGCCCAUGGCCCAGCAGCUGGAAGCGGACAUCAAUGCUCUGGUUUAUAACAAGCAGCAACUGGCCCUGCGAGCAAAAGCCACUAUCCAUCAAUGA